UGCAGUCGAGCGGAACGAGUUAUCUGAACCUUCGGGGGACGAUAACGGCGUCGAGCGGCGGACGGGUGAGUAAUGCCUAGGAAAUUGCCCUGAUGUGGGGGAUAACCAUUGGAAACGAUGGCUAAUACCGCAUGAUGCCUACGGGCCAAAGAGGGGGACCUUCGGGCCUCUCGCGUCAGGAUAUGCCUAGGUGGGAUUAGCUAGUUGGUGAGGUAAGGGCUCACCAAGGCGACGAUCCCUAGCUGGUCUGAGAGGAUGAUCAGCCACACUGGAACUGAGACACGGUCCAGACUCCUACGGGAGGCAGCAGUGGGGAAUAUUGCACAAUGGGCGCAAGCCUGAUGCAGCCAUGCCGCGUGUGUGAAGAAGGCCUUCGGGUUGUAAAGCACUUUCAGUCGUGAGGAAGGUGGUGUAGUUAAUAGCUGCAUUAUUUGACGUUAGCGACAGAAGAAGCACCGGCUAACUCCGUGCCAGCAGCCGCGGUAAUACGGAGGGUGCGAGCGUUAAUCGGAAUUACUGGGCGUAAAGCGCAUGCAGGUGGUUUGUUAAGUCAGAUGUGAAAGCCCGGGGCUCAACCUCGGAAUAGCAUUUGAAACUGGCAGACUAGAGUACUGUAGAGGGGGGUAGAAUUUCAGGUGUAGCGGUGAAAUGCGUAGAGAUCUGAAGGAAUACCGGUGGCGAAGGCGGCCCCCUGGACAGAUACUGACACUCAGAUGCGAAAGCGUGGGGAGCAAACAGGAUUAGAUACCCUGGUAGUCCACGCCGUAAACGAUGUCUACUUGGAGGUUGUGGCCUUGAGCCGUGGCUUUCGGAGCUAACGCGUUAAGUAGACCGCCUGGGGAGUACGGUCGCAAGAUUAAAACUCAAAUGAAUUGACGGGGGCCCGCACAAGCGGUGGAGCAUGUGGUUUAAUUCGAUGCAACGCGAAGAACCUUACCUACUCUUGACAUCCAGAGAACUUUCCAGAGAUGGAUUGGUGCCUUCGGGAACUCUGAAACAGGUGCUGCAUGGCUGUCGUCAGCUCGUGUUGUGAAAUGUUGGGUUAAGUCCCGCAACGAGCGCAACCCUUAUCCUUGUUUGCCA
rnacentral:rRNA from 1 species